rnacentral:misc_RNA from 1 species
GUGAAUCAUCAAAUUUUUGAACGCAAAUUGCACUUUCUGGUAUUCCGGGAAGUAUGCCUGUUUGAGGGUCAGUUAAAUUAAAAUAGGUGUUGUUGCUAAAAGUGGUGGUGUGUGAUGCAUCGGACUUGAGUAGUUUUUUACGUUUGGUUUAAGUGAAUUAAAAUUAUGUUCGAUUUUUGAAAGUAUUUAAAUUAUUAUUUAUGUUCGUAUUAUCAAUUCUUAGAUGCGGUCAUUUACAUGCUUACCCGU